UCCGAAUUGGUGUAGUGGCUAACAUUUGACGCUCUCAUCUCUCCUUCCACAGGGGUGCCGUCAAGCCCGGGGUUCGAUUCCCCGAUUCGGAG